UACGGAGGGGGCUAGCGUUGUUCGGAAUUACUGGGCGUAAAGCGUGCGCAGGCGGGCUUUUAAGCCAGACGUGAAAUCCCCGGGCUUAACCUGGGAAUGGCGUUUGGGACUGGGAGUCUGGAGUGCGGCAGAGGAGACUGGAAUUCCUGGUGUAGCAGUGAAAUGCGUAGAUAUCAGGAGGAACACCGAUGGCGAAGGCAGGUCUCUGGGCUGACACUGACGCUCAUGCACGAAAGCGUGGGGAGCAAACAGG
rnacentral:rRNA from 1 species